CCUUCUCCUCCUGCGGGAAUCCGGCCGGGGUCCGGGCGAGGCGAGGAGCGGAAGGGAGAACGAUGGAAAUUCGGGAGGGGGGGAGAGCUUUCCUCGGCUCCCUUUCCUUCCUUUCUCUCCUCUCUCCCCGGCUGCCUUUCCCGGACAAGUUUAUAUGGCGGACGAGGGAAGAGAGAGAGAGAGAGAGAGGGAAAAGGAUUGGAAUAUUCUCUUCUUCCCCCCCUCUGUAAUAAGUAACUUGAGGAACGAUUUCUGAUUGUUUUCUUUCUUUCUUUCUUGUGCGCUGGCGUGAGGAUAAACAUGUUUCUUUUGCGCUGGAUAUUGCCGGGUUUCCUUUGGUCUCUGUGGCGUUUCG
rnacentral:lncRNA from 1 species